rnacentral:rRNA from 1 species
CCUACGGGAGGCAGCAGUGGGGAAUAUUGGGCAAUGGGCGAAAGCCUGACCCAGCAACGCCGCGUGAAGGAAGAAGGCUUUCGGGUUGUAAACUUCUUUUGACAGGGAAGAGCAGAAGACGGUACCUGUCGAAUAAGCCACGGCUAACUACGUGCCAGCAGCCGCGGUAAUACGUAGGUGGCAAGCGUUAUCCGGAUUUACUGGGUGUAAAGGGAGCGUAGACGGGUGUGCAAGUCUGAAGUGAAAGCCCGUGGCUCAAACGCGGAACUGCUUUGGAAACUGUAUAGCUUGAGUACUGGAGAGGCAGGCGGAAUUCCUAGUGUAGCGGUGAAAUGCGUAGAUAUUAGGAGGAACACCAGUGGCGAAGGCAGCCUGCUGGACAGAAACUGACGUUGAGGCUCGAAAGCGUGGGGAGCGAACAGGAUUAGAUACCCUUGUAGUC